AGUGAACGCUGGCGGUAGGCCUAACACAUGCAAGUCGAACGGCAGCACAGUAAGAGCUUGCUCUUACGGGUGGCGAGUGGCGGACGGGUGAGGAAUACAUCGGAAUCUACUUUUUCGUGGGGGAUAACGUAGGGAAACUUACGCUAAUACCGCAUACGACCUACGGGUGAAAGCAGGGGAUCUUCGGACCUUGCGCGAUUGAAUGAGCCGAUGUCGGAUUAGCUAGUUGGCGGGGUAAAGGCCCCAAGGCGACGAUCCGUAGCUGGUCUGAGAGGAUGAUCAGCCACACUGGAACUGAGACACGGUCCAGACUCCUACGGGAGGCAGCAGUGGGGAAUAUUGGACAAUGGGCGCAAGCCUGAUCCAGCCAUACCGCGUGGGUGAAGAAGGCCUUCGGGUUGUAAAGCCCUUUUGUUGGGAAAGAAAAGCAGCAGGUUAAUACCCCGCUGUUCUGACGGUACCCAAAGAAUAAGCACCGGCUAACUUCGUG
rnacentral:rRNA from 1 species